UUCGGAAUCACUGGGCGUAAAGGGUGUGUAGGCGACAAAUUAAGUCUAUUGUUAAAUAUCCCAGCCUAACUGGGAAUGUGCGAUGGAAACUGAUUUGAUAGAGGAUGGAGAGAGAGAAGUGGAAUUCUCGGAGUAGCGGUAAAAUGCGUAGAUAUCGAGAGGAACACCGAUGGCGAAGGCAGCUUCUUGGUCCUUUCCUGACGCUGAUACACGAAAGCGUGGGGAGCAAACAGGAUAGAUACCCUGGUAGUCCACGCCGUAAACGAUGAUCACUUGAUGUUGGUUCUGCUUAGCGGAAUCAGUGUCGUAGCUAACGCGAUAAGUGAUCCGCCUGGGGAGUACGGUCGCAAGACUAAAACUCAAAAGAAUUGACGGGGGCCCGCACAAGCGGUGGAACAUGUGGUUUAAUUCGACACUACGCGAGGAACCUUACCUGGGCUUGACAUGUACUUGACAGUUGUAGAAAUACAAUCUUCUAGGCUUCGGUUUAGACAGGUACACAGGUGCUGCAUGGCUGUCGUCAGCUCGUGUCGUGAGAUGUUGGGUUAAGUCCUAUAACGAGCGCAACUCUCGCUGUCAGUUGCUACCAUUAAGUUGGGCACUCUGACGGGACUGCCCGGGAAACCGGGAGGAAGGUGGGAAUGACGUCAAGUCCGCAUGGCCCUUAUGUCCAGGGCAACACACGUGUUACAAUGGCCGAUACAAAGGGCAGCCAACUCGUAAGAGUGAGCUAAUCCCAAAAGUCGGUCUAAGUUCGGAUUGAGGUCUGCAACCCGACCUCAUGAAGUUGAAAUC
rnacentral:rRNA from 1 species